ACAGCAGUCGCCGCGGGAAUACGUAGGUGGCAAGCGUUGUCCGGAAUUAUUGGGCGUAAAGGGCUCGCAGGCGGUUUCUUAAGUCUGACGCGAAAGCCCCCGGCUCAACCGGGGAGGGUCAUUGGAAACUGGGAAACUUGAGUGCAGAAGAGGAGAGUGGAAUUCCACGUGUAGCGGUGAAAUGCGUAGGGAUGUGGAGGAACACCAGUGGCGAAGGCGACUCUCUGGUCUGUAACUGACGCUGAGGAGCGAAAGCGUGGGGAGCGAACAGGAUUAGAUACCCCGGUAGUCCCUGUCUCUUAUAC
rnacentral:rRNA from 1 species